CCUACGGGCGGCAGCAGUAGGGAAUCUUCCACAAUGGGCGAAAGCCUGAUGGAGCAACGCCGCGUGGGUGAAGAAGGUCUUCGGAUCGUAAAACCCUGUUGUUAGAGAAGAAAGUGCGGGAGAGUAACUGUUCACGUUUCGACGGUAUCUAACCAGAAAGCCACGGCUAACUACGUGCCAGCAGCCGCGGUAAUACGUAGGUGGCAAGCGUUAUCCGGAGUUAUUGGGCGUAAAGGGAACGCAGGCGGUCUUUUAAGUCUGAUGUGAAAGCCUUCGGCUGAACCGGAGUAGUGCAUUGGAAAGUGGGAGACUUGAGUGCAGAAGAGGCGAGUGGAACUCCAUGUGUAGCGGUG
rnacentral:rRNA from 1 species